rnacentral:snRNA from 1 species
GUGCUCCCGAAGCGAGCACAUAUACUAAAACUGGAAUGAUACAGAGAAGAUUAGCAUAGCUCCUGUGCAAGGAUGGCAUGCAAAUUUGUGAAAUGUUCCAAUUUUUG